rfam:Loktanella cinnabarina LL-001 DNA, contig: LCI057.
UGGUCGGGAGGUCUUCGGUGGGACGAAGGCCGUGAAUUGACCGGAACUCCCCUCUCGCAAGGACCCCGUGGCCUUCCCCGCCGGCCCGGUG